UACAGAGACUGCAAGCGUUAUUCGGAUUCACUGGGCGUAAAGGGUGCGCAGGCGGCCGUGUGUGUGAGGCGUGAAAGCCCGGGGCUUAACCCCGGAAUUGCACCUCAAACUACAUGGCUAGAGCAUUGGAGAGGGUAGCAGAAUUCAUGGUGUAGCAGUGAAAUGCGUAGAUAUCAUGAGGGAUACCAGAGGCGAAGGCGGCUACCUGGACAAUUGCUGACGCUCAGGCACGAAAGCGUGGGGAGCAAAAGGG
rnacentral:rRNA from 1 species